UACGUAGGGGGCGAGCGUUAUCCGGAUUCAUUGGGCGUAAAGCGCGCGUAGGCGGCCCGUUAGGUCGGGAGUUAAAUCCGGGGGCUCAACCCCCGCCCGCUCCCGAUACCGGCGGGCUUGAGUCUGGUAGGGGAAGGCGGAAUUCCCAGUGUAGCGGUGGAAUGCGCAGAUAUUGGGAAGAACACCGGUGGCGAAGGCGGCCUUCUGGGCCACGACUGACGCUGAGGCGCGAAAGCUAGGGGAGCGAACAGG
rnacentral:rRNA from 1 species